rnacentral:tRNA from 1 species
CUAGGGUGAAGCCCGCUGGAUUGGGUGUUUAGUUGUUAACUAAGAUAUUACGGGAUCAAGGCCCGUCAACCUAGG